AUUGAACGCUGGCGGCAUGCCUAACACAUGCAAGUCGAACGGUAACAGGGGCUUCGGCCCGCUGACGAGUGGCGGACGGGUGAGUAACGCGUAGGAAUCUUCCCAGUAGCGGGGGAUAGCUCGGCGAAAGCCGGAUUAAUACCGCAUACACCCUACGGGGUAAAGCAGGGGAUCGUAAGACCUUGCACUAUUGGAUGAGCCUACGUCUGAUUAGCUAGUUGGUAGGGUAACGGCCUACCAAGGCGACGAUCAGUAGCUGGUCUGAGAGGACGAUCAGCCACACUGGGACUGAGACACGGCCCAGACUCCUACGGGAGGCAGCAGUGGGGAAUAUUGGACAAUGGGCGAAAGCCUGAUCCAGCAAUGCCGCGUGUGUGAAGAAGGCCUGCGGGUUGUAAAGCACUUUCAGCAGGGAAGAAAAGCGUGAGCUAAUAUCCUUAUGUCUUGACGUCACCUGCAG
rnacentral:rRNA from 1 species